rnacentral:rRNA from 1 species
UACGUAGGGGGCAAGCGUUGUCCGGAUUUAUUGGGCGUAAAGAGCGUGUAGGCGGCCAGGUAGGUCAGCUGUGAAAACUCGAGGCUCAACCUCGAGACGUCGGUUGAAACCACCUGGCUAGAGUCCGGAAGAGGAGAGUGGAAUUCCUGGUGUAGCGGUGAAAUGCGCAGAUAUCAGGAAGAACACCCGUGGCGAAGGCGGCUCUCUGGGAAGGUACUGACGCUGAGACGCGAAAGCGUGGGGAGCGAACAGG